GAUGAAGAACGUAGCGAAAUGCGAUAAGUAAUGUGAAUUGCAGAAUUCAGUGAAUCAUCGAAUCUUUGAACGCACAUUGCGCCCGCCAGUAUUCUGGCGGGCAUGCCUGUUCGAGCGUCAUUUCAACCAUCAAGCCCCAGGCUUGUGUUGGGGACCUGCGGCUGCCGCAGGCCCUGAAAACCAGUGGCGGGCUCGCUGUCACACCGGGCGUAGUAGAUUUUAUCUCGCUUAGGGCGUGCUGCGGGUUCCGGCCGUUAAAAAGCCUUUUUUACCCAAGGUUGACCUCGGAUCAGGUAGGAAGACCCGCUGAACUUAAGCAUAUCAAUAAGCGGAGGA
rnacentral:misc_RNA from 1 species